GGGAUUAGAUUUGAAUUCUUAAUUCUUCUUCAGAUCCUAGGAGACCAACUCUUAAAUAGACUAAAAAGGCUAGUCGCUAUCUCAUAAGGUUCCUUACCUUUUAAUUUGAUUUUCUUCUCAUAAAAAUCAGGCCCAAUUGAAAAAGUCCCACACCCUAUAAGAUAAGUAGAGGAGGUGCCCACACCUUAUUAGGCAAGAUGAGAGGGCACCCCCAUCCCAUA
rnacentral:lncRNA from 1 species